AAGAUGGCAACAUGUAGUUGUUAAUGUUUAAAAUUUCUCACACGGGCAGAUGAAAUACAAUAUCUUAUUUAAUUAAAUUUAUAUAUUUAUUUAAUCCUAGUGUUCAAAAUUACUUCUCUAAAAUUUGAGUGAGCGUUUUAUAUUUUGCUGCCAGAGUUUUAGCCAAAUUCAUCAUAUUCAAUGCUUAGCUUAAUUCAUGUUUAUGUAUCAAUUUAUUAGCAUGGAAGUAGACCACCCCUUUAAAGGCAGAGAUGAACAAGGUCACUGAGUGUUUUCCUCACUAACAAAUGUACAUGUACGUUUUAUUAGAUGCGCACACAAGAAGAGACAAGAGAAGCCCGGUAAAAAGUGUGUGAAAUGCAUAUACAU
rnacentral:lncRNA from 1 species